GACAGAGGUGGCGACCGUUGUUCGGAAUCACUGGGCAUAAAGCGCGCGUAGGCGGCAUGGUAAGUCGGGUGUGAAAUCCCUCGGCCCAACCGAGGAAUUGCGCUCGAAACUACCGUGCUUGAGGACAGGAGGGGAGCCUGGAAUUCCUGGUGGAGCGGUGAAAUGCGUUGAUAUCAGGAGGAACACCGGCGGCGAAGGCGAGGCUCUGGCCUGUUUCUGACGCUGAGGCGCGAAAGCUAGGGGAGCAAACGGG
rnacentral:rRNA from 2 species